rnacentral:lncRNA from 1 species
AAGAAGGGUAUCCCGGUGGAUUGAAAACCUAAAAGGGAGGUCCACGCAAAAGAGGGAAUAAGCGAAUGACUGCAAUCUGAGUUCAUCCGUGUUACAUCACCGUUUCAUUCAAUCCGGCAAUCUUCGAAUGUUAAAGAUCGACUAAUCAUCCACUUCAGAAAGCAAGAUGAGCAUAGCGUCUUGAGGUCAUACGAGCCAUAGAAGAGUCAAAUCUCAGUGGGACCCCGUAUCCUCAUUGCCAUUAGGACAGUGUUC